CUAACACAUGCAAGUCGAGCGGUAACAUUUCCAGCUUGCUGGAAGAUGACGAGCGGCGGACGGGUGAGUAAUGCCUGGGAAUUUGCCCAGUUGUGGGGGAUAACCAUUGGAAACGAUGGCUAAUACCGCAUAAACCCUACGGGGAAAAGAGGGGGCUCUUCGGACCUCUCGCAAUUGGAUAAGCCCAGGUGGGAUUAGCUAGUAGGUGAGGUAAAGGCUCACCUAGGCGACGAUCCCUAGCUGUUCUGAGAGGAUGAUCAGCCACACUGGGACUGAGACACGGCCCAGACUCCUACGGGAGGCAGCAGUGGGGAAUAUUGCACAAUGGGGGAAACCCUGAUGCAGCCAUGCCGCGUGUGUGAAGAAGGCCUUCGGGUUGUAAAGCACUUUCAGUGGGGAGGAAAAGUUAAGUGUUAAUAGCACUUAGCCGUGACGUUACCCACAGAAGAAGGACCGGCUAACUCCGUGCCAGCAGCCGCGGUAAUACGGAGGGUCCGAGCGUUAAUCGGAAUUACUGGGCGUAAAGCGUGCGCAGGCGGUUUGUUAAGUCAGAUGUGAAAGCCCCGGGCUCAACCUGGGAAUCGCAUUUGAAACUGGCCAACUAGAGUCUUGUAGAGGGAGGUAGAAUUUCAGGUGUAGCGGUGAAAUGCGUAGAGAUCUGAAGGAAUACCGGUGGCGAAGGCGGCCUCCUGGACAAAGACUGACGCUCAUGCUCG
rnacentral:rRNA from 1 species